rnacentral:snRNA from 1 species
AUGCUUGCAUCAGCAGCACAUCUACUAGAACUGGACUGAUACAGAGAAGAUUAGCAUGGCCCCUCUGCAAGGAUGGCAUGCAAAUUAGUGAAGCAUUCCAUAUUUUU